rnacentral:rRNA from 1 species
UACGAGGGGGGCGAGCGUUGUUCGGAAUUAUUGGGUUUAAAGGGUGCGUAGGCGGUCUUAUAAGUCAGUGGUGAAAUACGGCAGCUCAACUGUCGAGGUGCCAUUGAUACUGUAGGACUUGAGUACAGACGAGGUAGGCGGAAUUGACGGUGUAGCGGUGAAAUGCUUAGAUAUCGUCAAGAACACCGAUAGCGAAGGCAGCUUACUAGGCUGUAACUGACGCUGAGGCACGAAAGUGUGGGGAUCAAACAGG